UUGCCUGUAGGAUUCCAUUUGAUGAUUC
rnacentral:piRNA from 1 species